CCCGAGAGCGUCAUCACGACACGCGCUCUACUUCUUGGUUACGAGAUCUUUCUCUAGUAAAGAAAUUGGAGCCUAGAUAUCAAACGCCCCGAUUUUGAACGCGGCUUCAGUCCUUGGUGGAUAUUCACUACACGAUGAUUGUUAUCUUGGCGUUCUUACCCACUGCAGUGGGAAGACUGCUGAUGAAAUUGACCAUGCUGAUUUCAAGCUACAUUUAUGGAUACGAUUACGAAACAAGGCCUUUAAUUGACGCUGAAGAUGAAAUUCUAGAUGAACAAAGAGACAGAGACUUAUUUGAGAAAAGUAAAAAACUGAAUUUAGGAUUAUUCAGUCGAUUUAUGGUACUGAGGAACAGUUGAUAAUGAAAUGACAGGCCCCCUAGCGAGCGAAUUGAACACUUCUUUCAUGAUUGGGAUUCAUCGGGAAUGUUCGGCAUACGUCAGCUUUAGACUUCGUUUCCGUCCCGUUUUUGACGACGAACACGCACCUUCCGUCAGGCUGAGGUACGAAGCGCCUCGUUCUGCCCACAGUAGGCAUGCAUGACAUCAAACCUCUGAUUUUCAAACAUGAUGACGCGUUUUAAUCUGAGUAAUCUGAUUGGCUCCUUUAAAUGACGACAUUUCGACAUGCGCGAGCAUCAGAACUAUUUAUGUGAGGGCGAAAUAGUGCCUAUAUUUUACAGAUUAAAUCAUCUUAUCACAAGUGUGGAGUCGGAAUAUAUUGAGUUUGACACAUUGGAAUUUAUCAACCUUUCUCUCAACAUAACACUCUCCUUAUAAAAAAUAGACGAGAUUUGGUUAAAGUCGUGUUGCUCAGUUGAGAUUGGUUUUGUGCCACAUCCGACCGAUCACGAUAUGAUGGGAAGCUGCAAUGGCAGAGAGAUUACUAAAUAAAAGUAUCUUUCGAUGCGCUAGUUCAAAGUUGGAGAAUGGAAACACCGCGCUCUAAGAGAACCCGCGAUGUCGGUCAGAACUUCUGGAAAGUCCUGAAGACAACAGCGACAAUUGUGUGAUAUCAACGGGUGAAAUUCCUUUUCAGUUCAGAAAGGUUUUCCACGCCAACAAUGGUUUUAAACGUUGAGCUACUUUCUUUUACCUCGAUCUCACAAAGACCUCUCUUCAGGCCUUGUUCGUCAAAAACCCAAUUAUUAACCUUGGUUUGUCCGGUCAUAAUCCAUUAUUUAGGCCAUCGGAGAUUGAAUGCCGAGUUGACCGACAAAAAGCGCGUGUCUGUCCCAGAAAACUAUAUUCGGUGUACCAGCUAAAGGAGUAGCCCAAUAGUUAACCUACAAACCGACAUAUUUACCCUACAUAAUAUAUUCAUAGUUUGAAAUGCUGGCCCAUCAAUAUAAAUGACUGAAUGAUAUCAAUAUCUUUUGCAAGGCGUGUUAUUCGGUGCUAACCUAGAAUAUAUAUUCAUCCAAGAAGUCUAUAUUCACAAAUUUCUGCGCAAUUGUUCUCGAUGUCAAAGCAAGCCUGUUUUGCUGACGUAAAAACUGCAUAUCACGUGGUUUUGUUAAAAAUAGCUAUCAAUAAUAAACAACGUGUUUGUGGAAUUCGCCGGCCACGCAGGCCGCGACGAUUGUUGACGAAAUAAAU